rnacentral:rRNA from 1 species
CGGAGGGUGCGAGCGUUGUCCGGAAUCAUUGGGCGUAAAGGGCGCGUAGGCGGCCUGAUAAGUAGGGGGUGAAAUCCUGCGGCUUAACCGCAGGGCUGCCUUCUAAACUGUCAGGCUGGAGCACAGUAGAGGCAGGUGGAAUUCCCGGUGUAGCGGUGGAAUGCGUAGAGAUCGGGAAGAACAUCAGUGGCGAAGGCGGCCUGCUGGGCUGUUGCUGACGCUGAGGCGCGACAGCGUGGGGAGCAAACAGGAUUAGAUACCCUGGUAGUCCACGCCGUAAACGAUGGGCACUAGGCGUCGGGGGGAGCGACCCUCCCGGUGCCGUCGCUAACGCAGUAAGUGCCCCGCCUGGGGAGUACGGCCGCAAGGCUG